rnacentral:lncRNA from 1 species
UCCGACAACAGCUAUCUUGUCAAUACGCCUUAGAGAGAGCUUCCCUUUUGGAGACCGGACCAGCAAAUAAUCUGUUGACUGCAAUCUAUGCGGAAAAACAGGUGCUUUAUACAUGUUUGUUUCAACAGAUGACUGACAGCAACCAGGCUGUAUCUCCCCAAGGAAAGGGGAUUUGUCUCCAGGUUCCAGAAUCAUCACAUUCCCUAAGGUGUCACUUUGAUUGCGCAACAAGUUCCCACGUUGAUCCUCUGAGGAUGACUUCUGAUAAUAUGUACACAAAUUUGCACCCAUUCCUGCAUUGCUGAGCAUCAACGGCCUCUCCUCGCAAUACCUACACAGAUCAAUGAAAAGAAACGGUGACUUCCAAUACGAGUCUUUUCCUGCUGAUGAAACUCCCUGAGCGACUGAAAAUGCCAGGGGCAUUGAAAGAAAAAUCCAGGGAGAUUUGUUCAGUCAAGUUACAGCGAUCACUUUACGGAUUAAAGCAAUCCAGACACAUGUGGUACAAUCGCUUAAGUGAAUAUCUUUUGAGUAAAGGAUAUGUGAAUAAUGCGAUAUGUCCAUGCGUUUUUAUAAAGCACAUCCCUCUAAGAUUUUAUUCAUAUAUACGAGAGCUUGAGAAAAAUAAAGAAGUGGACAUCGAGUAUGUACGGUCAUUCAACAAUCCAGCUAACUUGUUUACAAAAGCUCUUCUGACUACAAUAUUCCGAAAACACGUCUACGGUAUCGGAAUGCGGUAUUUGCGUGACCUGCAACGAGGAAGCUAGGUCCACUACUCUUAGAGGGAAAUUACGACAGUGUAUUCUUUUUUCCUUGUCAUGGUUUUUUGUUCCAGUGGGUUUUUCCAUGACCAGGUUUUUAACGAGGCACCACAUAAUACAAGAUGAAUAAUCAAAGGAGAGUGUUGCAAAGGAUGAUUAAUCAUCUGUAGGACAAAUGUCUCAAGAAUGGCUAUCAUGGUCAUUUACACUUGUCAUUUAUCUAAUUCUUUUUGCAUCAUCAUCAUCUGAACAUUUUGUCUUUUUUUUUUCUAAUGUUGCCGACCUUUUCCACUAUAAAUAGUAGUCCUCCCUCUUUGCAUUUGUAAGGAUGAUAUAAGAAAAUAAUAAAUGAUUAUCUUUCUCCAAGUCUCUAUCACAUCUCUCUCACUCUCACGUUUUGUUUCUCUUCUCCUAUUACACAAAAUCCUUUUUUUCCCACUCAUCUCUCUCACAUCACUUUCACACAUAUAUAUAUAUACAUCCACCUCUCACCCUUUGAUAAAAAAAAAAAAAUCCACCUCUCACCUUAUAUUAUACAACAGACUCCAUAUAUAUUUUUAAACCACUUCCUAUUAUCUCAAUCUUUUUUUUUUGGUAACACUAUUAUCUCAAUCUUCUUAGAAUCCACGUGGCCUGUCUCUACUGCAUCGAUCGUUGAUACAUCGAAAGCUGCAAGAUUACUGAAAGGCGUCUUGUUUAACACCAAGAAUCUGCAACAUAACCCCCGACACUUGGUCCUUAUAUUUUUCUUAGUAAAAAAAUAAUAAGCUACAGCAUGCAGAGAACAUUAUAUUUUAAUAUAUAAAAAUAUAAAAAUAAAAAGAAAUAUGUACGUUUUGCUUAAGAUUUUAUUCACAGGAGACUCAGUUUACGUUCAUGAAUCAUAACGCUCCAGCAUUCACUGAAUAAAAAAAUCCAUCUAAAGAUACAAUCAAAGAACAAUAAGUUAAUGAUAAACCUAUAAAAGAUUCCUAUCAGAAUGAAAACAUCACGGAAUAUGCACCAAAAUCCGGUAAUAAUCGGAAAAUAAAUCUAAAUACAUUUUUCAUUUCUUGUUUUCGACCAAUUUACUUCAACAUUAAAGCUUUUAUCUAGUGCUAACUAUUUGAUAUCAGAGCUUCAUUUAAUAGUGGAAGCUUUGGCACCAAUUGUUAGAUCUAGAUCAAAGUUUCAAAAUAGACGUUAAUUGACAGAAAGAGCUAAUGUUUUUGUCAAAUCAAUUUAAACAUUUUUAUAUACAAAAUGAAGAUUCAACUGUAUGGCAAAAGAUCCUAUAAAAAAGGAAUUCAAAGAUAUUUUCAAAUAAAUCUAGUACUACUAGAAAAGGACCGAUUCUUACUCGUUAAAUAAUGAAACAAAUAAAUGGGAAUUCAACUAAUUCUUAGAAAAUACUCUAAACGUAAACAAGAAUUAUCCAUUUAUGUUUAGCAGAUCUUUUCCUAAUAAAUGAAAUCUUAAGGAAAAGAUAAACGAAUGUAAAAGCAAACAAACAAUCAAGACCAUGUAAAAGAUAAUCUUCUGUUUAUAGAUUACAUGACCAUUAAAAUUUAAAAUAGAAAUAUGAAUGAAUAUGAAAAAAAAAAGAAUAAGAACAAAUAAAAGAAAUAGAAAUAAAUAUUUAUUACUUUUGUUGCAUGUCAAUUUUUAGUCAAUUUUGAUAUAAAAUAUUUUGUUCUAUAGUUCCUUGAAAUAUAAAGACAAGGAAUCAUACACAGCAAAUGUCAAAGAAGAGAUAAUAGAGACGACGCGAAGGUAUUAGAAGCGCCAUGAAGGAUACUCCCGACCAAAACAAAGAUAGAUUGGCAAAUUUAUGUCUCAAUUAACUCCAAAUUUACUAAAUACCAGGGGAUAAGAAAGUAAUAAUUAACAAAAGGCCCAUUCUCAAUGAAAACAAAGUUUUAUACACGACAUUAACACAUCAUAUUUCAAAGUUCUAUUUAAUACCACAAUCAUCACUUUAGUGAAAACCUCAAAAUUUUACAAACAACAAUAGAAAAAAGAAAACAAUUUUCUUUUUACUUACUUGACCUUUACACAGACAGCACAUGACAAUGUUUCUUUUUUUUUUUCAUACAAAUCAUUAGCUAAAGCUAGAAUCCCACUUCUUUUUUAUGGCAUAAAAGAGGAAUGACUAUCUUAAAACACACUCUCUCAGUCAGUGGGAUCUAUCUAUCAAUACCUUUCUCUGCUUCUGCUAACUGAUCUCCAUAAUCUUCUAACAAGUAAUCACAAAUCUCCAGCAACUGAUCUGCCAAAGGCGGUAUCCCUGGGUUACGCCCAUUGUUGUUAUAAAGAUGAGCAUUGAGCUGGAUCUGCCACACAUCGUGUCUAAACUGCUCGCGGUUUCUGUACUCUAUCUUCCGUACCUUAUCCCUGAUUGUCGACAGAUCCAUCGGGCGUUUCACUAUAUCAAAAUAGUCUGGAGCAUCCUUCUUCGAAACCGGUUUCAAGAAGAGCCCUGACACUUCUUCUUUGAGUCUUAGUGUGUCCACAAUGGUUUCCAAGAUGUUUGCUAGCCCAACCUGUUUGUAUAGACGGAGAGAACAGACAGAGAUGAGUUGAAGCUUAAUAUGUAACGCACAUGAUUUGCAAAGAGAAGUUUUACCUCUCCUUUUUUGCGUCUUUUAGGUUGAGGUGCAUAAUCCGCACCAUUCACUUCAAAGUCGGACACAUACCGGCUUCUAACGUUCCGGCCUCUUCUAUCGUUGUUGUUUCUUCGAGGAGGAUAAUCUUCUAGAUACCCUUCUACUAGUUCGGGUUGCAUCUUCUUUUUCUUCUUUUUAUUCUUCGCUUUUUGUCGUUCCUCUUCCUCCCUCUCACUCCGUAGUACCUCUUCGUAUCUCCUGAUCUCAGCUAUCUCGUUGGGUUCUUCUGUUACAUUCAUAUCAUCAUAAUCUCUUCUCCUGCUUAUCUCCUCUUCUUCCCACCACACUCUGUCUUCUUUUGGUCUCCGCUCUAGAGAGUUCUCUGCUACUCUGAAGCUCUGCUGCCUCUGAAAACCCGUCAGUUCUGCCAUUCUUUUUGUUUUCCGGGACUCGAACCGUGGACUCUCUUCAAGACUACUCAUGUCAUGAUCAGUUAUCUCUUUCGAACGUUUUAUUACAAGUUUCUUCUGAGGCUGCUCUCUUUCUGUAGGCGGUCGUAUCACCAGGUGAGGCCUACGAGAUUCAGCUUGAUCUCUAUCCAUGCUUGAAGAUGGCUGCAGAAUAGAUAUAGUGUGCCUGCUUGAGGCAGCUUGAUUUCCAGAGACGCAAGGCUUGUGAGAUUCGCUCUCCCCUCUCUCUCUGCUAUAUGUAGGCAAAGGUCUGUCAGAUUCAACCUUCGAUUCUUUAGGUUUUGCCUUGCUUGAAAUCUUGAGUUUGCUGAUCUUAGAUGUGGUCUUCGUCCCAGUGUCUAUGUCCGACACUGCUGCUUGCUCAGAACUUCCUGGAGCUUCUAAACCAGGUGUAUCUGACAUCGCUCCAGCAGGGAUACCAUAUCUAAACUUCAGAGGGAGACCCCCAGUUUUGUAAGUGGAACUAUCUCCCUUGGGAGUUGCAUCUACGGUGACUUUUAUUGCACUUUUCGGCGCAGCCUUGGUGCUCUUGAUAGGUUUAAUCUUGGCCUGACCUGAUAGUUCUGAAGUACUUGGUUUUCCCACGGACUUCUCCAUAUCUACACCUUCGGGUUGUGGAUCUGUAUUUUCUCUGUAUCUUGGGCAGUGUUUAUUGGUUCUCAUGUGCCCAUACUGUCCAUGAAAAUAAAUAAUCAAACACUCCUAUCAAACAAGCAAAGUUUAGAUUCAUAAUCUAGUCACAAAUAAACAGAUAUACCUGACCACAGGCUCCACAAACAAAAUUCUCUCUGGCCGAUUUCUUUUCCUUGAAUACCUUAGACCACGAGAACAGGCAAAACUUCAGAAUUGACCAUAAAACUAUUAGAAUAAAUUUAACUAUACUGUAGAUUGUUAUACUCAUUUAAUUGUACCUUUAGAUUUUCGUUAAGUAUUUUGACUUUCUUAAGCGGGCCCAAAGAAUUGCCAUUGUCUUUAACCUGUUUACCUUUGGGGGUCUUAAUAAUAGGGCUAUCAACCUGCCACUGGAGGGGAAAAUAAAAGUUGUCAACACAUGCAAUCCCUCAAGUUGACAAUCAGAAAAAGGCAAGAGUCAAACUUGUACUGACAUUUCUGGUGUCUCUGAUGGUGCUCUCAUUUACUAAGAAAGAUGCAUCAGGUUGGGUGGCGAUAGGAUUCUCGUCAAUGAAAGUGGCCUUUCUUACAGGCUCUGCAAUUUGAAAACCUAUACUGGGACGUGGAGGAGGAAAGGACCCCAUUCCUUCUCCCACAGCUUUGAUCUUCUUCUUUUUCUUCUUCUGGUCCUCAUCUAAUUAAAUUAACAAAGUCAGUGAUGCGCCGACAAAAAGUUCUUUAGCUAAUAGCACAAAUGCCACACACGUACCUUGCAUCAGUAAUCUGCAUAACUCCGCAUAUUCAGUAGCUUCAUCUUCAAUUUCUUCGUCAGUCUCAACUUGAGAUGGCCUUCGUCUCAUCUUGAGACCCUUAACUCCGUCCAACUUGUCAUUCUUAGACAUGUUAGAUUCUUCCCCCUCCCCACCUUCCUCAGCAUCAAGCAGGUUUUCCAGAUCUCCGGCAAAGGAGUCCAAAUCACUGUUGGCCUCAUUUUCACUUUCAUUCUCAUCACCAUCAUAAGCAGAAAGGGAAGAAAGUUGCUUAUCCCAAAUCUCCUGACACUUUUCUCGAGCCUGCUGUUGCAUCUGCAGGAAAGACAUUCUCUGCCCACGGGCAUACUUGCCUAUAGUUGUAGGGUCAACCUUAACACCAGAUGCCGCCUGCUCACUUGAUAGCUUCCGUAUCAUAGCUAUACGGUGCCAUCGAGUUUGCUUAGCAAUUAUCUCAUCAGGAACAUUGAAUUUGAUAAGAACCUAUAAAGAGAUCAUCCAAACCAAAUCUUAAUUAAGACUUUCACUGGCUUUACAUUAUAGAAGAAAAUUGAAACUUGUAAGAAUGAUGUCCUUUUAAGGUUCCUAGACAUCUGAAAUAAAGAAGUAUACCUCUCGAGCUGCUUCCAUGCUUAAUCUGCGAAGAUCAGCAUCUGUACCAGUGACAGUUGGGGCUCCACGACCAGCUGCUGCCUUUUUCUUCAUAUGCCCGGCCGCAGCUGGUGCUUUUGGUGCAGCUUUGACAAAGCUGAAUCCUAGACCCCGUCCAGAUGGAUCGCCAACCCCAGUAAUUUCCAAACGCUCUAUAUUUGCUCUAUCCUACUCAAACCCACAAAUGAAAACCAGAUAUGUGAGCAUCGGAAAGGUAAAACUGAAGCAUGAGCAAGGACUGAUCAGAAGCAUCAAAUCCAAUUCCACUGACUAGAUUCGGAAACACUUUUCACAAAACUAGUGUACAUGGAGCUGAAAUAGAUUCUAGUGUUGAAAUGAAUGUACUAAUAAUGUCUCAGCCCUGGCAUAUAUAUAAAAACCACGUCUUUACGGAUUAGGGAUGACUCAACCGUAACUCCUAUGUUCCUAACAUAAUAUAUAUAUAUAAGAACUCACUGGCUAUGUAAGCCUUAACAUAGAUAAGUGAUGUUUACCUGAUUUGUACAAGCAACAAAAUUACUGCUCAGAUUCCAUGGCGUUAUCUGCAACUCCCUCUCAAUAUGUGAUGCAGCGGCGAGAGCAAUAGCUUCGUCUGGGAGCUGAGUCAAUGCAGCUGAUAUGCUGGCAGGUAAUGUAAACCGGGUGAUCCCUAAAUGUUUGAGCCGGUACAGCCCAGCUAACAUACUCUCGUAGGAACACACCUAGGCCAACAAAAUAUAGAAAACCAUGCAUCUUAAAGAGUAUAUUUCCGGUAAUAGCAAUCAAAAGCUCAUUAACUGCAAUUCCGAAUAGUGGAAAGCAGACGGGGCAUAUUUCAACCAUGAAAAGAACUUAAAGGGAAAACUAACAUGCUCUGGUGCCACCAGCUUUUUAAGUUCAUUCUCAGGUGGAACUUGAAAAUCAGGUCUCUUGUACCAACAAGGCUGGCCAUUUUUAUCCCUCUGCAUUUUGUACAUUUAUGUAAGGCGUAAGUAUGAUACUAUGAUACAAAGCAUGAUUAAGCAAAAAAAAAAAAACAGAGAGAGCGUAAGCGUGCAACUAUAGAUGCUACUUAUGCAGAAGUGAGAAUUUGAUAAUAUACCUUCAAACCGGCACAAAGUUUCAUGUUCCUUCUGACAACUGCAUCUGUUAAGUUAGAAAAUAAAAAGGACAGCUCAUCUGCAGCAAUUGAGUGGCUCUUCAUAAACUCCCGGUACACAUAAACCAACAUCCUGUUCACCAAAUAAGUCUGUAGAUUCUUUGAUCCAGGAGACAUUACUUCCAUGCGAGGUUCCUGGGAAAAAAAUAAACUGAGCAUGCCGACUUUAUGAAAUCAAAAAAAAAAAUAAGCUGCAGUAUGUCACAAUUAAUUAUAAUGCAGGUGGAACUCAUAACCAGACUAAAAUGAGCAUCUCAGAUUUAAACACUAACGCCAAAGUACCAACGAAAGUAGCAAAGGUAAAAGCGGUAACGUAAAAGAUAAUAGAAUUUAAUACACCCAGGCUACUAAGCUCCUCUAUUGCGCUACUAAAUCACAAGCAUGAAACAUACAAACUUAUUUUUCUAAUUUUCUGUGUAUAUAUAUAGACAUGCACUGAGACCUUCCUUGGACAAAAAAUCUAAGAGACAAUUCUUGCGAAAGACAAACCUGUUGUCCGACAACAGCUAUCUUGUCAAUACGCCUUAGAGAGAGCUUCCCUUUUGGAGACCGGACCAGCAAAUAAUCUGUUGACUGCAAUCUAUGCGGAAAAACAGGUGCUUUAUACAUGUUUGUUUCAACAGAUGACUGACAGCAACCAGGCUGUAUCUCCCCAAGGAAAGGGGAUUUGUCUCCAGGUUCCAGAAUCAUCACAUUCCCUAAGGUGUCACUUUGAUUGCGCAACAAGUUCCCACGUUGAUCCUCUGAGGAUGACUUCUGAUAAUAUGUACACAAAUUUGCACCCAUUCCUGCAUUGCUGAGCAUCAACGGCCUCUCCUCGCAAUAC